UUUACUUUAUUAGUUUAUCGUAUUUUCCAUUUGAUUUAGUUAUUUUUAUGUUUAUUAGGUGUUUCGGAGCAAAGAAAGGAAUAUGAAGCAAAAGAGGAGAAAUCUUGAAGGAUUAGGAAUUCAUGUCGUGUAAGGAAAGAAUUAUGGGAUUUGCCAGAAAUUAUUAUCCAACUUCGACAGAGGAUUGUGAUCAGCUCACAACGAUCCAGACAAUGAGUUAUAUAUCAAUAGAAAGAUACAAGAGUCUACUUUCUAGAACUUUUUACGGAUCGUCAAUACCUAUUUUGUAGAAGAAGUUAUGAUCAUUUUAGUGGCCGAAGGUCAGUCUGCCCGAAUUUCUGAUUUGGACCGUAACUUCAAUUUCAAGGGCCAAUCCAAAUCAGCUGGCCCAUGGACGGAAAUUGAGGGUUCUCUAACCUAAUAUCAUCUGAUACACGAGAGGAAACGAAGAAAAAGAAGACAAGUCGGGAAGAAAAGAACACAAGAAUCGGACGGAACAAGAUUGAUCUCUUCUCAAGGAUUCUCCAAGCUCGGUUAUUGUUGUCUUCCCCUUCCAUGAACUCUUUUGUGUUUUUAAUUUUCAUUAUGCACAACUAAACUCACAGUAGCUAGGGGGCUGUUGAAGCCCCUAGACAUGAUUCAUAACAUGCUUUGAUUUUCAAUUUGUUUUUGCAAUUAAUAAGAUUGAGGUUUUGUUUACCGAUUGUUCAUCGAUGAAUUCUUUGUGUGUGUGCUUUGGAGGCCUACUUAGUAUACAUGCUAGGGUUCUAAUACUUUGAUUAUUUGAUGCCUGGGUCAAUAUCGGAUCCCUCAAAUUGUCUAGAGAAGUAAUCGGUAGUUUUCACUGGCGAGUAGACGAAACCCUAGGUUUAGCAAGGCGCUAAGUUUAUUGCGAUGCCUAGUGAUUGCUCAAACUCUUUUCAUGCUUAUUGAUCUCUGCUUGUUUAACCUAAUAAACGUACCUUUAGGUUACAAUGUUUGAGAAUAGUUUAGGUGUAGAACACUUCCUGCCUAACGUACAAAGUAAGAAAGAGUAAUAGAUUGUGCUCAAGCGUACCGAGUCAAUCUGAGCAUCUUCAAUUGAGUUAGUUGGUCACAAAUUGGACAAAGU
rnacentral:lncRNA from 1 species